rnacentral:rRNA from 1 species
UGGGGAAUUGUUCGCAAUGGGCGCAAGCCUGACGACGCAACGCCGCGUGGAGGAUGAAGGUCUUCGGAUUGUAAACUCCUGUUGCCCGGGACGAAUAGCUCCGACCUAACACGUCGGAGUCUGACGGUACCGGGUGAGGAAGCCCCGGCUAACUCUGUGCCAGCAGCCGCGGUAAUACAGAGGGGGCAAGCGUUGUUCGGAAUUACUGGGCGUAAAGGGCGCGUAGGCGGCCUUCUAAGUCGAACGUGAAAUCCCUGGGCUCAACCCAGGAACUGCGUCCGAGACUGAAAGGCUCGAAUCCGGGAGAGGGAUGUGGAAUUCCAGGUGUAGCGGUGAAAUGCGUAGAUAUCUGGAGGAACAUCGGUGGCGAAGGCGGCAUCCUGGACCGGUAUUGACGCUGAGGCGCGAAAGCCAGGGGAGCAAACGGG